ensembl:lncRNA
AUGUCCAAACCAGUUUGUCUGCUGUUUGCUCUGGUGAUUCUGACCACAAUUUUGUGCUACAACUCAGUCUGUUCACAGAGGGGAACUUGGAGACAAGUUGCUGCUUGUGGCUGCAAGAUUCAUCCUAAUGGGAGUCUACGGUGUACUAAAAGACACAGUUCUAAAACCAGCUACAAGUACAAUGAAAUUGUCAAGUGUAUUUGCAGGAACACCAUAAAAGAUUUAAAUGAACACUCCUGGAAACAGUUUAAACGGAUGUGCCGCUCAGAAUUAAAGUCUUUUUCUAUCCCCUUGUGAUCUGAUGGAAUUGUGCAGCUUUUUAAAGAGCUUCAAUAUGAUUUAUCAUAUCUAUAGCCAAAAUGCAUUUUUAAAAUCUCUAUGAUGAAUUUACUUUAAUAAAAUAUAACCAUGGAAAUGCUUUGGUUUCA